AAAAAUCUGGGCUUUGGUGGUCUCAGACAACUUGUCUCCAAUCUCCCUCCAUCUGAGUUUUGUUUUUGAAAUUUUUCUAUGUUAGAAAGAUUUUUAGUGAUGAAACUCUAUCAUAUAUCCAACACUUCCCCCUAAAAGUCAUUUGUUUCCGUUUCUGCAUAAUUCCAGUUGCACACAAAGUGCAUGCUUCCAUCAAGUGAUUGUAGGAAAGAAAAAAGCAUUUGUUCACAAACUAUUUUCUUUCAUUUUUGGAUGGAUAUAGUGUAUAUAUAUAUAUAUAUAUGUGACAACGAGUAACUAGCUUUUUUGGAGUAUCUUGUUCAAAUUUUUGAAAUAUGGAGUUUUUUUGUAUACUACUAUAUAUUUUAUUUGACUGUAUGUUUUAAUAAAUAAAC
rnacentral:lncRNA from 1 species